UACACAAUUUUUUAAUGGGUGUGGACAUUGAUGAAGCCUUAAUGGCUGAAGUUGACCGUGAAUUGCUUCAACGUGACAUAGAUAAAUCUCAUACUCAACGUGAUGAGGAGUAUAGACAAGGCCAACUUCUAAGGGAUAAUAUUGCAAAUGAAAUGUGGAAUGUUUAUCAAGUUUAGUGUUGUUGUCUAAUGUUUCCUAAGUCUUCAUCUUGUAAUUUGUACUUGGAUUAUGUGCAUGUAAUGUUUGUUGUUAUUCAUGUUUUCCAUUUGUUAUUAGUGUUGGGUCAUUCUUUCUAUUUGUUAUUCAUUGAUCUGCUAAGUAUGAAAUUGAUUUGAGUAAUGUCAAAGACUAUUCUUCUCAGGUGUAUUUGUCAUUGAUUCCUAAAACAGUGAUCAACAUUUUCUAGCAUUCUAUAUAUUUACUACAAUUGUAUUUAUAGGUUGAAAGAUGACAAAGGGUAAGGGUCAAACUGGGGAACCUACUCAAGUCCGUGCUGCUGCUGUCUUGAGGUGGACUGAAGACAUGGACAACAUAUUAUUGAAUGCAUUUUCUGAGGAGGUUACCAAGGGAAAUAGGCAAGAUGGUUCAUGGACAACAGAAGGCUAUGCUAAUGUACUUGAGGCAUUAAGGGUUGCUGUUUCACCAACCAUGACAAAGCAACAUAUUAAAAAUAGAAUGAAAACCAUGAAGGAAAACUUUGUUGAGGCCUAUGAUCUAUUCAGAGGUCUUAGUGGCUUUGCAUGGAGUCCAGCGACUAGGAGGUUUGAGGCUGAGGAUCAUGUAUGGGAGGAAUUAAUUAAGGUGAGUUGCAUUAUUCAUGGCAUGUAAUGGUAGUCAUUGUGGUAUUUAUUUACACAGUACAAUAUUAACUAAUGUUGUCAUUUAAUUUGUGAAAGGAAAAACCCCAUGCGGCUAAAUGGAAAAAAACGCAAGUCAAGCACUAUGAUACAAUGAAGGAGCUUUUUGGAGCUGAUUGAGCAACGGGAAAAAGAGCCUUAAGUGCUGGCCAAAUAUUGCGUGAAAUGGAUAAGGAAACCGUCGACUUAAAUGAUGUUGGUGAUGAUACUUCUAUACCGGAACCAAAUGUUGGUGUCUUUGAAGAGGGGCAAUUCUCCCCUCCUCAUGUUGACUCGUUUAGCCCAGCCCAAGCACCGUCUCAUCAAUCUUCAGGUACAUCUGGUUCAAGAGGAACAAAGCGUAAGACAUCAAUGGUUGAUUCCUUUGAUUCUCAAGUGGAGAAAAUGACUAGUGCUCUUGGAUUGGUGGGUCAUUCUUUCUAUUUGUUAUUCAUUGAUCUGCUAAGUAUGAAAUUGAUUUGAGUAAUGUCAAAGACUAUUCUUCUCAGGUGUAUUUGUCAUUGAUUCCUAAAACAGUGAUCAACAUUUUCUAGCAUUCUAUAUAUUUACUACAAUUGUAUUUAUAGGUUGAAAGAUGACAAAGGGUAAGGGUCAAACUGGGGAACCUACUCAAGUCCGUGCUGCUGCUGUCUUGAGGUGGACUGAAGACAUGGACAACAUAUUAUUGAAUGCAUUUUCUGAGGAGGUUACCAAGGGAAAUAGGCAAGAUGGUUCAUGGACAACAGAAGGCUAUGCUAAUGUACUUGAGGCAUUAAGGGUUGCUGUUUCACCAACCAUGACAAAGCAACAUAUUAAAAAUAGAAUGAAAACCAUGAAGGAAAACUUUGUUGAGGCCUAUGAUCUAUUCAGAGGUCUUAGUGGCUUUGCAUGGAGUCCAGCGACUAGGAGGGUUGAGGCUGUGGCAUGUAAUGGUAGUCAUUGUGGUAUUUAUUUACACAGUACAAUAUUAACUAAUGUUGUCAUUUAAUUUGUGAAAGGAAAAACCCCAUGCGGCUAAAUGGAAAAAAACGCAAGUCAAGCACUAUGAUACAAUGAAGGAGCUUUUUGGAGCUGAUUGAGCAACGGGAAAAAGAGCCUUAAGUGCUGGCCAAAUAUUGCGUGAAAUGGAUAAGGAAACCGUCGACUUAAAUGAUGUUGGUGAUGAUACUUCUAUACCGGAACCAAAUGUUGGUGUCUUUGAAGAGGGGCAAUUCUCCCCUCCUAAUGUUGACUCUUUUAGCCCAGCCCAAGCACCGUCUCAUCAAUCUACAGGUACAUCUGGUUCAAGAGGAACAAAGCGUAAGACAUCAAUGGUUGAUUCCUUUGAUUCUCAAGUGGAGAAAAUGACUAGUGCUCUUGGAUUGGUGGCUGAUGCAUUGAACAGUGGUAAUUGUAUUUCUAAUAAGCUACAUGAUGUGGCUGAAAGACAAGUGGGAGUCGUAGAACGUCAAGUUGGAGCAAUUGAAGAGCGCAAUGAAAUUUACAAAGACCAGUUGAUCGUCUUUAAACAUAGUAAACCACGUAUAUAUACUGAAUCGGAUGUGUGGAAUAUGUUGACUGAACUGAAUGUAACUGACCCACUUCGCAUGCAGUGCUAUGAAUUUCUUUGCACUAAUGAUCAAAAUAAGCGCUUGCUUUUUGGUGUACCAAGUCAGAUGCCACUACAGACUCUAUUUCAAAUGAUGAAUGAGGGUGGGUUCCGUUGAUAAGUUAUGUUCAGUUGUAGCCUUUUGUUGCUAAUUUACAUUAUGUACUUUUUUGGGAUGUAUGUACUGAAGACAUCAUUUGGCAGCUUUAGCUAUUUAUGUAAUUUGUAAUCUAUUAUGUAAAGAAGUAGGAAGCUAGGGAAGGUUGCUUGAUGUGAAAGGAUCAUUUUGUUUUGUUAUGGUGAAUGUCAUAUGUUUUGUAAGCCUUUUGAACGUCAGGUUGCUUGAUGUUAUGGAUCAUUAUGUAUGGAUUAUAGUAAAUGUAAUGUAACUACUUCUAUUACUUUUUC
rnacentral:lncRNA from 1 species